rnacentral:lncRNA from 1 species
AUGAGAUGGCUGCUGCUCUCAGCCUGGUCCCCAGGAGAGGAGCUGGGCUGGAUUUCCCCUCCAGCUGCAUGGCUGCUGCCGGUGGAGAAGAUCUGGCCUGCAAUGACCAGCCCUAAGACAGAGAUAUCAUUGACCAUCCAUUGCAGCCACUCAUCUGAGGUCUGGAGAGUUGGGACUCUGCAACCAUUCAGUGAAGUUAACCCUUCUCCGUUUCCUUUGGGAAGCUGCAUCCCUGGAGUGCUCCCUUUGCAGGCACCAGCACAUUGCAGUCAGCAGCAUUUUUCAAGCACACGUCUGCUCCGAGAAAUGAUGCUGUACAAACACAUUAUGGCAAGGUCUCACAGCCUUUAAGAGGAUGAAAUCAACAGCAGGCCACACAAAUUCAAUCAAAAGUCUGCAGAGAUUAACCCUGGAAAACAGUACACCUGAAUAAAAAAUUGCAAGUUUUAUGAACCUACAAAAUGCUGUAUGUGGCUUAUGUUAGCAAAGUUAAGGUUGAUACAGUAUACAGUUAGAAAAAAAAGAAAAAGUCACUUCUGGUACUCACGAAAAAAAAAGAUUCUGCAGUUCAUUACAUGGCUCAUCUGUGUCAGUGCUGCAGGGCUCAAAAAAAUAAAAAGCAAUAAAAUCUGACUUUGUGUGUAAUACCAGCAGAUCCACGGCUAAAUAUGCAAAGGCACAGCUCUCUUUUGUAAGAUAGCACCGUUUUUCCACAGCCUUUUUUUCACAGAAAACCCACGCUUUCUGAGUGAGGCUUUUAUAGUUUCCUUUUCAAGUGGCAGUUUAUUUCAGAAAAACAAAGCCACUGUUUUCAUCAGUUCCCGUGCACUUGGGGAGCCUCGUCUCUCGCCGGCAGAAGAGAUGGAAGGAGAUUUCCAUCCCCUGCCCUUCCCCAGGCCAUCACGCGCUCCCCCCGCGAAAUGGAGGCCGGGGCAAGGCCGCGGGCCCAGCAGCCCUCCCGCCGGCCGGGCUUCCUCUUUCCCCCGCCUGGUGGGCGCCCUGGCCUCAGCCCCACUUUCCACACCACGGCCUCACGUCAGCGUGGGCC